rnacentral:rRNA from 1 species
GAAUAUUGGACAAUGGGGGCAACCCUGAUCCAGCCAUGCCGCGUGUGUGAAGAAGGCCUUCGGGUUGUAAAGCACUUUAAGUUGGGAGGAAGGGGUGAUUACUAAUAAUGAUCAUCAUUGACGCUACCACCAGAAUAAGCACCGGCUAACUCUGUGCCCGCAGCCGCGGUAAUACAGAGGGUGCAAGCGUUAAUCGGAAUUACUGGGCGUAAAGCGCGCGUAGGCGGCUAAGUAAGUCGGGUGUGAAAGCCCCGGGCUCAACCUGGGAACUGCAUCCGAUACUGUUUGGCUAGAGUAUGAGAGAGGGAGGUAGAAUUCCACGUGUAGCGGUGAAAUGCGUAGAUAUGUGGAGGAAUACCGGUGGCGAAGGCGGCCUCCUGGCUUAAUACUGACGCUGAGGUGCGAAAGCGUGGGGAGCAAACAGG